AAAAAACGUCCCAACUUUUCCGGAAUUCGGGUUGUAAUAUAAUUAUAGGCUUGUACAUAUCGACAGUGUACAGAUGCUUGAUGGAUUUUGCCUUUCGUGUAUACUUAGGUCAACCAUGAGUUAUUCGCCUUGUGGAACAUCAAACAUGUGGUCACGCUCAUUGCGCGAAAAAUGUCUCGAGCGAUGGAGAAGGCCAGAGAGAACGCCGUCAAGGCAAGGGACGAGGCUGAGACGGCAAAGAACAGUUCGAAGGAAAAGACGGAGGUGCAUGCAUCACAGGCUGACGUACAGGGAUCGCAGACCGAAAAAGCACCACUCCUGCCGAGGACGGGAAAAGAUCACCCUGAAGCCAAAGAAGGUGGACGAGGAGGAGACUCACCAUGAGAUGUGUGACGGAAUGAACGGGACAAGGAAGACUUGAGUUUAGCUUAGUUUAAUAAAGUGUGCAUGAUUGUGAAAAAAGAAAAACUUGUGGUCUCAAGUGCCUACCACCCACAAUCAAACGGGCAGGUAAACCUGGCUGUAUGUUAUUGAAAUUGUGUCAGUAGGAAUUAUAUAGAGCAUGUGUGAAAUAUGUUCAAAAUAUUACACAGGAUGAACGCACCAAUCAAACUGUGAAAGCUGCACUCCGUCGGUAUGUGAAUGGCCAUCAGGACGACUGGGACCUGCACCUACAGCCAGUGGUUUAUGGCAUCAACACCGCCAAACAGGUCUGUGUGUUUUGUACGCCAGCACUUUGUAUGUUCAGCCUUACAUUUGGAACUUGGGUUGGUGGCCAAGUUGACAAACGGCAUUUUCACAGUUCCACACCUAUUUACUUUUCUUUUUGCUGCAGGCUUCAACAAAUUACACACCAUUUGAGUGUUUCUUUUUGCGCAAACCUGGGCAACCAGGGGUCAUAAAUCAGUGCCCCAUGGGCGAUGACUUCGAAGUUCGUGACCCAGAGGAACAUUUGUAACAAAAAAUGAAUGACUCUAUUGAGCUAAACAAAAAGGUUAAGCAUGAGACAAACACUUUUUUGAAUGGAGAUACCAUACCAGAUGUAUGUAACAUAUUACAUGUAACUAUAGCUUUUUUUGUUGUUUGGUAGGUUCUCACCAACAUUGAGAAG
ensembl:lncRNA